GGCAGUAGUAAUCAGUUCAUUGCAUGGUUCAUUGUCCUAUUGAUCUAACUAUGGAAUUUUGUAUUGAAUUCCGUAUUAUAGCUGGAGUAAUGCGAGCAACAAAAUUGCUGCAACUUGCAACAAAAUCUGAUUUCAACGCAUGUUAAUUGAAAAUGUUCACACAUAAAUUACAACGAGGCAACAUGUGUCAACAUUUCUACUUAAUCAACAUGCGUUGAAAUCAGAUUUUGUCUCCAGCUUAUGGGUUAGUGGUAAUCUGAAUAAAUUAGACUAUCAUGUAAUUAACAAAUGAACGGCCAACAACAAGGGCAAAUAAUGUUAGCCAAUCA